GAUGAACGCUGGCGGCGUGCCUAAUACAUGCAAGUCGAGCGAACGGACGAGAAGCUUGCUUUUCUGAUGUUAGCGGCGGACGGGUGAGUAACACGUGGAUAACCUACCUAUAAGACUGGGAUAACUUCGGGAAACCGGAGCUAAUACCGGAUAAUAUUUUGAACCGCAUGGUUCAAAAGUGAAAGACGGUCUUGCUGUCACUUAUAGAUGGAUCCGCGCUGCAUUAGCUAGUUGGUAAGGUAACGGCUUACCAAGGCAACGAUGCAUAGCCGACCUGAGAGGGUGAUCGGCCACACUGGAACUGAGACACGGUACAGACUCCUACGGGAGGCAGCAGUAGGGAAUCUUCCGCAAUGGGCGAAAGCCUGAUGGAGCAACGCCGCGUGAGUGAUGAAGGUCUUCGGAUCGUAAAACUCUGUUAUUAGGGAAGAACAUAUGUGUAAGUAACUGUGCACAUCUUGACGGUACCUAAUCAGAAAGCCACGGCUAACUACGUG
rnacentral:rRNA from 1 species